CCUGGGUUGCUCAGUCGGUUAAGUUUCUGAGUCUUGAUCUCAGCUCAGGUGUUGAUCUCAGGGUUGUGAGUUCAAGCCCUGUGCUGUGCUCUGUACUGGUUAUAAAGCCUAGUUUAAAAAA